CACGUAGGGCGCAAGCGUUGUCCGGAUUUAUUGGGCGUAAAGAGCGUGUAGGCGGCCAGGUAGGUCUGCUGUGAAAACUCGAGGCUUAACCUCGAGAUGUCGGCGGAAACCAUCUGGCUAGAGUCCGGAAGAGGAGAAUGGAAUUCCCGGUGUAGCGGUGAAAUGCGCAGAUAUCGGGAAGAACACCCGUGGCGAAGGCGGUUCUCUGGGACGGUACUGACGCUGAGACGCGAAAGCGUGGGGAGCGAACAGG
rnacentral:rRNA from 1 species